GUGGGCUACGGGGACAUGAAGCCCAUCACGGUGGGCGGCAAGAUCGUGGGCUCGCUGUGCGCCAUCGCGGGCGUGUUGACCAUCGCGCUGCCCGUCCCCGUGAUCGUGUCCAAC
rfam:Lepisosteus oculatus linkage group LG27, whole genome shotgun sequence.